GUUCACCAUGUCAUAUUUAUUGAUAAAGUUCUAAUCAGCUGAGUCUGUUAGAGCAGAAAACCCUCGACAUUUUCUCCUCCUUUUCUCGAACCUCGUCCUCGACCAAAUCAAGUGUGAUCAAAUUCAUUUGUUCAUAAUAAAUUAAUUUUAUAUAUAAACAUAUAAAAUCAGAAGAUAUCUGUAAGAUGUGAAUCAUUUAUAAGUGUUUAUCCUCCUCUAACUAAAAUAUGACCGUGAUUACUCUGAUAUAAAAAUAACUGCAUAUUUGAGAUGUGAUAUCUUCUCCCCUGAUGAUCUGAAGGACCUGUUCAUCCUCAUGCAUGUCCAUCCACCUGCUCUGAAGUGAGGACAAAGUUGAAAUUGUCCAAAUGUCCCCCUCUCUUUGUCCCACACUGCAGAACUUGGACGUCAGAUUCUUGACUGUAAAAACUCCCAUCAUGCCCGGUUCUAAACAUGGACACAGAUUCUCACCCGUGCAGACACGCAGGAGCACACAGACUUCUCCUUCCACACAUAUCCCACUCUUAGACAUCCAGAUCUGGUGUCAUAUGUUGUUAUGGUGCCGUAAACACACGCUCAAAAAAAAACUGUUUUUAAUGGAAGUCUAUUGGCCGAUUUUUGGACAAAGGAGGGUGGGCGGAGCUAAAAUGUGGAGAAGUACAGGAGACACCGAGUUUUUUUUUAAUAUGAAGAAAAAUAAGAACUCUCAGCAAAUGUGGUGCCCUAAUCUUUAAAACUGUGACUGUCAGUUCAGAAUAAAGAGGAAAAAAAUGACAAAUGUCCUCAAAAUGGACCGAGGAGGAACUGAGGGUUAAGAAACAAACACGUCUAAGUUUAACUCCAGAUCAGAGCUGGGUCAGUGUUCAGUCCCAGACCGGUGAUCAGGAUCCAUGGACAGAAAGUUUACUGUGUUAGAACAUGGAGAGGAUAUCAGGAGACGGGUCUGUACACCAGGAGAGGUGAAGGAGGGCAACAAUCCAGCAGCAAGACCGCUCUCAGCUCCUCUAGGAGGAGCAGUGCCAAAGCCCUCCAGCUCAUCUUCAUGUUCCUGACGUCCUUCUGGCGUUCUCCUCAUCCACUCUGACAUGAUGGAGUCAGGAGACGCCGUGGAGAACAUCCUGCUGCUGAAACAUCCUCCAGCGUGACCCAGUGGUGGUCUGGAGAGGGCCACACAGAACUCCAUGGACUAGCCUGAGGAACCCUGACUGCUGUUGGGACCAGGAUGAGAUCCUCAAAUCCAUCACCAGACCAUAUGUUGGUGCAGUGGCCCUAAGGUUCCUCCUGGGGUCAGCAGUUCCUGGAUGAUGAAGGGAUUGAUGUGAUCCAAUUAUUCCCCAGAGCUGAGUCUCCUCAAGACCCCCGGGGAACAUCCUGCAUCAUUACAUCCACUGCCAGAAGCUGACUCAGGCCCUGAACCAGGUCUGAGGGAAGAUUCCCCAGGAGACCAUCUGUCGUCUCAUCAGGAAGAAGCCCAGGUGUGGAGACCAAACUGACUCCUGAACCACAUUCAGACCGGUCUUCAGGAGGGUCACAGGAGCUGGAUCAGCC